rnacentral:rRNA from 1 species
CCUACGGGGGGCAGCAGUGGGGAAUAUUGCGCAAUGGGCGAAAGCCUGACGCAGCGACGCCGCGUGAGGGAUGAAGGUCUUCGGAUCGUAAACCUCUGUCAGCAGGGAAGAACGGUCACUGUGCUAAUCAGCAGUGAAUUGACGGUACCUGCAAAGGAAGCACCGGCUAACUCCGUGCCAGCAGCCGCGGUAAUACGGAGGGUGCGAGCGUUAAUCGGAAUUACUGGGCGUAAAGCGCUCGUAGGCGGUAUGUCAAGUCAAGGGUGAAAUCCCCGCGCUCAACGUGGGAACUGCCUUUGAAACUGGGAAACUGGAGUGUAGGAGAGGAGAGUGGAAUUCCAGGUGUAGGGGUGAAAUGCGUAGAUAUCUGGAGGAACAUCAGUGGCGAAGGCGACUAUCUGGCACAUAACUGACGCUGAGGAGCGAAAGCGUGGGUAGCAAACAGGAUUAGAUACCCUAGUAGUC